rnacentral:rRNA from 1 species
GGUGAGUAACGCGUGAGUAACCUGCCUUUCAGAGGGGGAGUAACGUUCUGAAAAGAAACGCUAAUACCGCAUGAGACUACAGAGCUGCAUGGCUCAGUGGUCAAAGGAGCAAUCCGCUGAAAGAUGGACUCGCGUCCGAUUAGAUAGUAGGCGGGGUAACGGCCCACCUAGUCGACGAUCGGUAGCCGGACCGAGAGGUUGAACGGCCACAUUGGGACUGAGACACGGCCCAGACUCCUACGGGAGGCAGCAUG